AAUGUCCGACUCUCCCUCAGCCCAGCGAGGGGCUGGGAGGGCAUUUCCCAAGAGAACCAAGGAACCCUCCCCCCGGUCCCGCCUGAGGCUGGAACUCCCGCGCAGAGAGUGGACGGAACUAGCAGACCGGGCACCGGGGUUGAACCUGCGGAAAAGAUAAAAGAAUGGCCUUCAGUGCUACCUGAUGGCAACCUUCUCUCUCAGUCUCAAGGUGCUGGUGGGCACAGCCACAGCUUCAGCGGCUCUGAUACAGAGCCAGUCUGCCUGAGGAAGCCCCCACCAAGCUCAGAGGUCAGACAUCACAGCCUCAGGGCAGUCCAGUCCGUGUGCAGUCCAGCCACGGAGCACAUGCAAGCUUAGCACGUACUUGUGGAAGGGAGCCAACCACCCCCAAUUUGCAGUGGCUAAGCCAUUAAAAGUCCAAGAGGCUAGAAGAGACCUGUCCCAAGAAGAAGUUUCUCCUUCUCUGAUCAUUAAAAGAAAAAUCCUCUCUGAAAUAGUCUUA